UACAGAGGUGGCAAGCGUUGUUCGGAAUUACUGGGCGUAAAGGGCGCGUAGGCGGUUCGUUAAGUCCUGUGUGAAAUCCCCCGGCUCAACUGGGGAACUGCACAGGAAACUAGCGGGCUUGAGUUCGGGAGAGGGAAGCGGAAUUCCGGGUGUAGCGGUGAAAUGCGUAGAUAUCCGGAGGAACACCGGUGGCGAAGGCGGCUGCCUGGACCGACACUGACGCUGAGGCGCGAAAGCGUGGGUAGCAAACAGG
rnacentral:rRNA from 1 species